GAGAAGCUUGCUUCUCUGAUGUUAGCGGCGGACGGGUGAGUAACACGUGGAUAACCUACCUAUAAGACUGGGAUAACUUCGGGAAACCGGAGCUAAUACCGGAUAAUAUUUUGAACCGCAUGGUUCAAAAGUGAAAGACGGUCUUGCUGUCACUUAUAGAUGGAUCCGCGCUGCAUUAGCUAGUUGGUAAGGUAACGGCUUACCAAGGCAACGAUGCAUAGCCGACCUGAGAGGGUGAUCGGCCACACUGGAACUGAGGCACGGUCCAGACUCCUACGGGAGGCAGCAGUAGGGAAUCUUCCGCAAUGGGCGAAAGCCUGACGGAGCAACGCCGCGUGAGUGAUGAAGGUCUUCGGAUCGUAAAACUCUGUUAUUAGGGAAGAACAUAUGUGUAAGUAACUGUGCACACCUUGACGGUACCUAAUCAGAAAGCCACGGCUAACUACGUGCCAGCAGCCGCGGUAAUACGUAGGUGGCAAGCGUUAUCCGGAAUUAUUGGGCGUAAAGCGCGCGUAGGCGGUUUUUUAAGUCUGAUGUGAAAGCCCACGGCCCAACCGUGGAGGGUCAUUGGAAACUGGAAAACUUGAGUGCAGAAGAGGAAAGUGGAAUUCCAUGUGUAGCGGUGAAAUGCGCAGAGGUAUGGAGGAACACCAGUGGCGAAGGCGACUUUCUGGUCUGUAACUGACGCUGAUGUGCGAAAGCGUGGGGAUCAAACAGGAUUAGAUACCCUGGUAGUCCACGCCGUAAACGAUGAGUGCUAAGUGUUAGGGGGUUUCCGCCCCUUAGUGCUGCAGCUAAACGCAUUAAGCACUCCGCCUGGGGAGUACGACCGC
rnacentral:rRNA from 1 species